GACGUAGGUGGCGAGCGUUGUUCGGAAUCACUGGGCAUAAAGCGCACGUAGGCGGCCAAGUAAGUCAGGUGUGAAAUACCUCGGCUCAACCGAGGAACUGCGCCUGAUACUGCUUGGCUUGAGGUCCGGAGGGGAGAGUGGAAUAUCCGGUGUACCGGUGAAAUGGGCAGAUAUCGGAUAGAACACCAGUGGCGAAGGCGGCCGACUGGGCCGUUCCUGACGCUGAGACCCGAAAGCUAGGGUAGCGAACCGG
rnacentral:rRNA from 1 species